AGUUGCAGUCCACCUCCACCAACAGGGUGGAAAACAAAGAUCGCCAUUCCGAUUAGCUGCUAUCUCCCAGUUCAAGCACUUUUGUGUCUGGACACUGGUUCCUGUGGAUGGGGUGUUACAAGCUUUACUGUCUGAUAUAGAAGUGAUGAGCAUCCAUAAGGACACAUGCCAGAAAGGGAGUCUCUUUGGGAUGACAAACCCUCAUCACCUCAUGAGGAUACAAUGGUUGACGAAUGGUUCU